CCCCCCUCUCCCCAUAACUUUUUUUUGUUCAAUUUGAUUAGAAACCUAACUAUGGCAAUAUAUGAGUUUUGAAAUUAAAGAUUAUAACAGAAACAAGAUUUGAUUAAUAAUAAGUAUCAUGAUUUAUAUGGUCCACAAAAGCUGCCUUUUUGUAAAACAAACUGCAAUGUAGAUAUGUAGACUUAAAGUACAAUCAUGCAUAAUAAAAUUUAUUCUAAGUGAAUGGGUGUCUGAGAAAUACAUAAUAUCAAAAAUAAAUUAUAUACCUGAUUUUCUAUUUAUUUUGUACCCUGGUCAUCAAAUUUAAAAUAACUUUCCCUGAAAUCUGAUUUGAUUGAAUAAGAUUUUGAUUUAUUGCAGUUGUGAAUAUUUUACAGGAAAAUAUGAAUAUCUAUUUACAAUUUAAAAUGACAAAGGCACUAUAAAUAUCAAAUGACCAAGACCAUGAUAAACUACGGAUUUGUGCUGAAAUGAUGUAAGAUGUCUUGUAGAUUUCAAUGGCUUUACUGAACAGUAUUAUUUGUUUAAUUUAGACUUUCUUAAACUAUCCAUGAUGAUUUAAGAUAAUAUAUGUGCCGAGCUAGUGACGCUUCCAAAUUUCAUACAUUUUUCUUACAUAAUAUUAAGACUAGAUGAAACAACAAACAUAUAAAGAUCUAACAUGUGAAUAUAAU
rnacentral:lncRNA from 1 species